GAGCAGUUGACCAGACGAACCCUGGAACACAAAUUAGCUUUGACAGAAUUCUACAUUCUCGGCUGACUUGAGAAACAGGAAAGGAACUGCUUGAAUUUGUUAUAAGAAGGCAUCUAUAUGUCCAGAGUCUCUUGACUUUUUGAAGAUGAGUGUUUUCCUGCAAAGACAAGAACAGAACCCUGCUCCAACCCUUAUGAGGUUCCCUUACCACCUUAUUAAUUCUCACCUCUGUGGAUGAACUGUCUUUUCUUUCUCAAGAGAUUUCUCUUUUUCAAA